UUUCCGUAGGUGAACCUGCGGAAGGAUCAUUACUGAGUUAGGGUCUUUAUGGCCCGACCUCCAACCCUUUGUUUAAUCUACCAUGUUGCUUUGGCAGGCCCGCUAGAAAUGGGCCGCCGGGGACCUUUGAGUCUCUGGUCAGUGCCUGCCAGUAGCCUUUCUAAAUUCAUUUAUAACCGUGUAUGAAUAUACAAAGAAAAAUUAAAAUAAAACUUUCAACAACGGAUCUCUUGGUUCUG
rnacentral:misc_RNA from 1 species